GUGUGCUAUUUUACUGUACAUGGAUUAACAAGAUGUAGUUUAUUUUUUAUUUUAUUUUAUUUUAUUUUGUUUUAUUUUAUUUUAGGAGCCAUGGCAGCCUUCACAGUGGCGACAUCAAAGUCAUCUGGGAUCUUCUGGAUUUCAGAUUGGAGUUAAUCUGAGCAUGCCCUGGCGUUUGGAAUUAAUCCCUUCAUUGCCUUGAUGAGUCAACCCAUCGUGACUAUGACUGUGGUUGACAACCAAGGACUGGGGCUUCCUGUUGACAUUCAGAGAUUCAACAAAGAGUAGGAUGCAUCAAGACUUCCAGAAGCGAUUGCUUCAUUUUCCCAGCAUCUCUCAAACUGCUAUCACAACAUAAGCUAUUUAUGGAAUUUCAAAGGUCUUAAUGGAUUUAUGAAGAUCUUAAAAAGAGGUUUCAAGACACAUCUUUGAAGAUGACUGAGAGAUUAGGGGAAGAGGCCCAUGAGAAAAGCUAAAAGAAGCAUUUUUAUCUCAACUAGAAAAAGCUGAAGAGUAAUUUAGUAAUAAUCACCAAGCCGGGUAUGGAGAGAGUGGUAGAUAUAAUUGUCUUGACUGAAGGCAU
rnacentral:sRNA from 1 species